GAAAGGAAUGGUCUGGGGAGGGGUGGGGGGGCAGGGCUGCAGCAAGCAUCAGCCUCCUGAGGGGUGCUGUGGUUCCUUGCUGCAUGCUCACCUCCCUGGGAGCCUACUGGGCAGGUUUCCCAGGAAUCAGCUCUGUGAGCAGAGUUUCAGGGUAAUCAAUGUCUGCUCCACAGGAAUGCUUUGGAAAAUUGGGCAAAUGAAAUAGAAAAGUAGUCAGGAAAUUAAUGCUGGGUACCUUUCAUUUUCUCCAACUAGAAAUCUUAAAGUUAGAAUCAGAGCAACUAGACUUGAGGGUUAGCAGCAGUUUCUAAAAGGUGAUUAGCCUCUGAGAUAGGGAAAGGCCCUGAGUGAUCUGCAAACUCUGCCUUCAAGUUCGCAAAUGGUGUGUUAGAUGUGAGUCACCGUCCACCCCGUCCUCUCUGGGCCCCAUUUCACAUCUGUGGUGCAUGAGCAAACUCAGUCCUUUUCACUUUGGGCCUUUGGUUUUUCCAAAAAUAAGAAAAUUGUUUUAAAGGAAAGCAUUUUCUAGAAACAGAUUUCUCUCUGGAAUCUGAGCCUCAGGCGUUCCAAGGCAGAGCUUCACGUUCAUUGGUGUGCCAGUCACGUCUCCAUUGUAAUCUGCAGUUUCCACAGGAGGCUCCUGCCAUGAAGCCUAAGGGUGCUGGGCCCAUGGGCACUGAGAGAGGCCACUGUCCAGCAGCGUCUUCAGCCUACAGAUCACUGAGAUUCUCGUCGUCUUAUCGCACAUAUGCAGGGUUCAAGGGGAACUAAAUGAAGCCACCACCACCAUCAUCAUAUCAAUAUCAUCAUCAUAUGAUUUUAAAGUCAUUAUAUUCAAAACGUCGAUGAGGAACAGAGCCGACUCCUGAUGAGCACAAGGGGAGAAACGGAGAUCCUGCGUCUGGGUUGGCUGCCAGGACCUGUAGGACACCAGGGCGGGGCAGGCUUUGCUGGUCGCUGCCCUGCUCUGUGGGUGGGGGACUCACAGCUUCUGCGGCAGCGGUCCCCAUCUCUGGAGCGCGUCAGCCUGGGCCAGAAGGUGGCGCCACAGAGCCUGAGGGUGCACCGCAGGAGGGCUCCGGGAGGAGUCCAGGGUGCAUCCGAACAGCCCUGGGCAAGCCCUCCCAUUCCUCCAGCUGCCUGACCCAGGCCUGGGCAGGCAAGCCUGACAUGCACCACUCCCCAACCCGGACAGUCUCUUGAGACUUUCGGACACCACCGGAGAGAUGCCAGCCCUGUUGCACUGGCCCUCGCCCGCUGCACCCGGGGAUCUCCCAGAGUUGGGAGGCGCUGACCAGGCCAUCGCAGACUGGCUUCAGACCUUAGUUGUCUCAUCUGUAGAAGAAAGUGAUCUGGCCAUCCUUUCCCCCCAGUUCCCCAUACUGGUGGAGUGAUCCAGCACAUGCAGAGCUCAUCACAAUCAUUAAAAAUAACACAAGUGAACUUCCGACCCCUAACAUUGCCCUGAAUCGCCACAGUUCUUUGUCAAGAUUUACUUCCUCCAAGAAGUUUCUAGAUCCACCCCAUUCUUCUCUGUGUACCUCCCUGUUAACAUCUUGUGUCGGGGUGGGAAGUGUAGCCCCAGCUAGCAGCUAGACUCGAGGAGCAGGUCAGGAGUCUUAGAGCAAAUGAGUUAAUCAUUAGUCCUGCCUCAAAUAGUGAUUUAGCUAUGUGAAGACCCUCGCCUGAUCUCAGCCCCAGAAACUCUUCCUCCUGUAACAGGAUUUAGGGGGUAAGAACCAAAAGGCAAGAAUGUGUUUGCUCAAAAGGGCCUCAUUGCUAAGACAAACAAUUCAGACCAGAGAUGCAUGUGCAGACCUAGGGAAGCAGGAGGAUUAAGACUGGAGCCUUCUACCAUGAAUUCUACAAAACCAGUUCCAAUUAGGACUCAUCAGCCAAGACAAAAGAGUUGCCCUCAUGUCGUUAGCUAAAGUAUCUGUCCAUUCAGAACCUAGAGGUGAUACUUGGGCAGGACCUUCUAACAGUCUCCCCACUUCUUCAGUAAAAACUGGGACACAGGGGCUGGGGUUGUGGCUCAACGGAAGAGUGCUUGCCUAGCACAUGAGAGGCAAUGGGCUCCAUCCUCAGCACCACAUAAAAAUAAAAAAUAAAGGUUUAAAAAAAAAUCUGGGACACAAAGAAGUUGCUGCUCUUCUAAGAGGACCCACUCUCUCCCUUGAGGGUGCUCCCCCCUUCUUUCCCUUCUAAUAAACUUUGCUAUAUUUUUA